RCUMGCAAGAKUGAWCGAGCUWWCUGAAAGAUUAUAAUNUAAUHUUAGGAAAUAAYURWUKMACCUGAGGUAUUAGUGUCGUCUAAAAUCUGGUGCCAGCAGACUCGGUAACACCAGAGACGCGAACGUUAAUCAUCUUAAAUUGGCAUAAAGGGUGCGCAGGCAGCUUUAAAUUAUUGAAGCUAGAAUCUAAUAGAGGUUGAUUAAAUGCUUAGUUCAGAGCUGAUAUUCGGAGACACUAAGUAGAAAACUAAAGGCGUAAGCCGUCUUCCAUUAAAGAUUGACGCUAAGGCACGAAAGUUGGGGCAGGAAAAAAGAUUAGAGACCUUUGUACUCCCAACCGUAAACGAUGAAUGUAAGACGCUCUAAUAUUAGAAGAGUGUCGAAGUGAAAUACGAUAAACAUUCCGCCUUGCCAGUAUACUUGCAAAAGUGAAAACAAAAAAAUUAGUCGGUUCUAAAGYDRACG
rnacentral:rRNA from 1 species